UACGUAGGGUGCAAGCGUUAAUCGGAAUUACUGGGCGUAAAGCGUGCGCAGGCGGUUUUGUAAGUCUGUCGUGAAAGCCCCGGGCUCAACCUGGGAAUUGCGAUGGAGACUGCAAGGCUUGAAUCUGGCAGAGGGGGGUAGAAUUCCACGUGUAGCAGUGAAAAUGCGUAGAGAUGUGGAGGAACACCGAUGGCGAAGGCACCCCCCUGGGUCAAGAUUGAACGGCUCA
rnacentral:rRNA from 1 species